ACCAGUGUGGCAUACUGGUUUGAGCGCUGGAUUAUGACUCUGGAGACCAGGUUUCGAUUCCCUGCUCGGCCA